rnacentral:tRNA from 1 species
GGAAAAAUAGUUUAAUUGGUUAAAACCUUAACCUCCAAAGUUAAUAAUGUCAGUUCAAGUCUGACUUUUUCUG